UUUGCCCCAGAUGCCUACCACUGGUGACUUUGACCAGAUGUUUCUACCUCUUCCCAGGACAUUAAGUAAGAGGAAGAAACUAGAGUUCAGAACUGGAAAGCCAAUUUGCUGACUAUAGCAUACUUCCUGACAAUGAAUCUGGAGCUUCUGAGUUUCAUAAUCUAUGAGUCACAGCUGAAGGCCUGUCCUGAACCCGUCAUCCAGCACACAAUUAUAAUUGACAUCGUUGAAAACAAACCAGGAUUUCCUCCAAAUUACUGGAUUAAAGUACUGGAUUAAAGGGGACUGAGAGGACCCAGAACAGUGGGACAGAAGACAGAGCAUGUUAGCGAUUGUAGAUUCAAGCUCCUCCUUAAUCCCUGGAGCAAGUUCUUUUCAUGCAGCUGACCUGGAUUGCACGGUAUAGCACUUACCCAGAGAAAGUGAGCAGCUCCACCCCGAGACUGGAGGCGCAUCUGAUUGUAGGUAUAAAGGGCAAUGAACAGGGUGAACAAUGUUUUUGGAGCUAAGCUUGUGAUAUCGGCAGCUCAAGAAUGGAAAGAAAACAUGGGAAAUACGUAGUGAAUAUUGAACACUCUGGAAACAAGCUGCCAUUAUGGAGCCCAAGAAGCCAUGAAACUCAAAAUUCACCAUGUCAGUUUUCUGCAUCAACUGAUAGAACUGGUGAUAUUGGUACCAAUUUAACUGAAGUCUGCACUGGCUCAGCGACCCUUGGAAAUUCUGAGGAAUUUCCAAGUAGAGAAUUCCGACAGUGUCAGAGGCAGUAUUCCAUAUUUUAGGAUGUUUAGAAGCAACUCCACAUGCUCCAAAG